rnacentral:lncRNA from 1 species
AUGGGCUUGAUAAAUGACAGAAAUGGUAUGGACCUAACUGAAGCAGAAGAUAUUAAGAAGAGGUGGCAAGAAUACACAGAAGAACUGUACAAAAAAGAUCUUCACGACCCAGAUAAUCAUGAUGGUGUGAUCACUCACCUAGAGCCAGACAUCCUGGCAUUUGAAGUCAAGUCAGCCUUAGAAAGCAUCACUACAAACAAAGCUAGUGGAGGUGAUGGAAUUCCAGUUGAGCUAUUUCAAAUCCUGAAAGGUGAUGCUGUGAAAGUGCUGCACUCAAUAUGCCAGCAAAUUUGGAAAACUCAGCAGUGGCCACAGGACUGGAAAAGGUUAGUUUUCAUUCCAAUCCCAAAGAAAGGCAAUGCCGAAGAAUGCUCAAACUACCACACAAUUGCACUCAUCUCACACACUAGUAAAGUAAUGCUCAAAAUUCUCCAAGCCAGGCUUCAGCAAUAUGUGAACCGUGAACUUCCUGAUGUUCAAGCUGAUUUUAGAAAAGGCAGAGGAACCAGAGAUCAAAUUGCCAACAUCUUCUGGAUCAUCGAAAAAGCAAGAGAGUUCCAGAGAAACAUCUAUUUCUGCUUUAUUGACUAUGCCAAAGCCUUUGACUGUGUGGAUCACAAUAAACUGUGGAAAAUUCUUCAAGAGAUGGGAAUACCAGACCACCUGACCUGCCUCUUGAGAAAUCUGUAUGCAGGUCAGGAAGCAACAGUUAGAACUGGACAUGGAAAAACAGACUGGUUCCAAAUAGGAAAAGGAGUGCAUCAAGGCUGUAUAUUGUCACCCUGCUUAUUUAACUUAUAUGCAGAGUACAUCAUGAGAAAUGCUGGGCUGAAAGAAGCACGAACUGGAAUCAAGAUUGCUGGGAGAAAUAUCAAUAACCUCAGAUAUGCAAAUAACACCACCCUUAUGGCAGAAAGUGAAGAGGAACUCAAAAGCCUCUUGAUGAAAGUGAAAGAGGAGAGUGAAAAAGUUGGCUUAAAGCUCAACAUUCAGAAAACAAAGAUCAUGGCAUCUGGUCCCAUCACUUCAUGGGAAAUAGAUGAGGAAACAGUGGAAACAGUGUCAGACUUUAUUUUUUGGGGCUUCAAAGUCACUGCAGAUGGUGAUUGCAGCCAUGAAAUUAAAAGAUGCUUACUCCUUGGAAGAAAAGUUAUGACCAACCUAGAUAGUAUAUUCAAAAGCAGAGACAUUACUUUGCCAACAAAGGUCCAUUUAGUCAAGGCUAUGGUUUUCCCAGUGGUCAUGUAUGGAUGUGAGAGUUGGACUGUGAAGAAAGCUGAGCACCGAAGAAUUGAUGCUUUUGAACUGUGGUGUUGGAGAAGACUCUUGAGAGUCCCUUGGACUGCAAGGAGAUCCAACCAGUCCAUUCUGAAGGAGAUCAGCCCUGGGAUUUCUUUGGAAGGAAUAAUGCUAAAGCUGAAACUCCAGUACUUUGGCUACCUCAUGCAAAAAGUUGACUCAUUGGAAAAGACUCUGAUGCUAGGAGGGAUUGGAGGCAGGAGGAGAAGGGGAUGA